UUGUAGGUGCUUAGUUAGAAUUUUAAAAUUUUAGAUUUUUACUGCGUGUUCAUCACAUGAUCACAAAGCCUUUGAUGCUAAGACAGGCUUUCGUACGGUCUGGAAUUUAAGUACGGUUGUCACGAACAGUUUAACAUGAUAUCGUUGCGUUGCCACAAACGUAUUUACCAAAACAUGUGUUUACGUUUGAACAUAUAUAUGACUGUGUUUACACACGUUGCCAAAACACAUUUGGUAUUUUAUCAGUCAUCACACACCAAGAGUUUUUCAAUUUUACCAAGAUGAUUAUUACGUCAUGUUUUAUGAAAAUAAUAUUAAGUUGACUUACUGAGGUAUAUUGUUGGGAACUGUAAGCACUCCAUUUCCAUCGAGUUCAUAACCAAUUAAUAUACAGUAUGUUUUCAAUAAACUGCAAAACUUCAGUGUAUAUAUAUAUAUAUUUCUGAAGAUGCAGAAAACCAAUCAAUCUAAGCCAAGAAAUAUAACGGCCACCAUUAAGAUAUCAAUUGAGUAUGUUCAAUCGACGUAACACUGUAAAACAGUGGUUUCGCUGCACGAGGGUAAAAAUUGACAAAUUUGGAACAACGAUUAUAAGGUCCUCACGGACACGUAAAUUGUUAAAUUAAGAAAAUUUCCUUUAUAAACACAAAUGGCUACCAUUAAAAUGAAUAAUGGCGAGUUAUAGGAUUUUGUAUACUAUAAUUAUCAAGCCAUUAUCUAGUCAUUACAGGAUAUUACCAUUAAUGGUUGUCAUGUUCAAAAGAACUGUAAAAUCGUGAUGUCAAUGCAGAUCACUGACCUCCACAGAGGGGCUUGGGAGCUAGAGGAAGUGGAAGGACUGGCAGGCAGGUCAGAAGUGAUCCCGCGCGACUAAUCUAGGCGACCGCUUCUCCUAGCCUGCCUAUAGCCUGCCUAUAUAGCCCGCCUGCGAGUUAAAAAGAAACAAACAAAGAGCGAAUUUAAUUUCUUUCUAUAUGCGCAGAAUAUUCCAGACCACGCGUAAAAAGUUUACUGAAUAUCAAUAUUUUUUUUUAAUCUAUUUUUUCAAAUUCUUGCGUUUUCACUUUUAAAUGUUUCUCCUACACAAUCGAAGUCUGAAAACUGCAUUUGGUGGUCUAAAGCUUGUAACUUCAAUAAAUAGUGAUAUCGAACCAGAGAACAUUCGAAAGCCGAUUAUAAAUAGUCCUGGUUUCGCUUCAAACAUCUUUAUACAUAUAAUACAGGGUGUAUCAUAAAAAAGGAGACCUUUAGAAAUUAAUCUAUUGUUAAGCUAAAUAUGUUUUGCUCCAGGUAAUUAAAAGUUCAAUUCAGUUGUGUUUUUGCACUCUGGUGUUCAGCAUAGUGCUUAUAGCAUUCAAAUUAUAACAAUAUAAGUAUCUAAAGAUCUUGUUUUUUAUACACCCUGUACAGGUGACUUUCACCAGGCUCCAGUUCACAUGGAGAGCGUUUAUACAAAAUAAUCUCAUUAUUUGACCUCUAUCUGCCUCGUAUAUAUAGGAGUACUUGAAACCCAGCUAUAAAAUUUUUAACUAGCGCGUGUAACAUCUUUGUAUUAUUUUCUAGUUCUUUUAAAAAACGACCGUGUUUUUAUACACGCCAUAGUCUUGUUUUAUUCUCAUUUAAUAUACUACAGUAUAACUUAUUAUUUUUAUUUUAGUCAAAAUUAUAUAUUAUUAACCAAGAACGAUGCCUAACGGCUAAUAAAUAUGUUAUUUAGUGUAGCAUUAUAUUUUUAUAUUAUAAAUAUGUUAUAAAUUAUAUAAACAUUUAUGUAAGCGAUUGUAGAAUACACUGGCUGAUAAUAGCUGAAUAGUGAAAUUAGUUGUUUAGAUAAUACCGGUUUCCACUAUCUAAAACAGUUACCUCCGUUAUACCAUGGAUCAUAAAAAACACUUUUAACUAUCCAUGGUUAUACAUAGUUAUCCUCAGUUAUACCUGUUUGUCCUAAUGCAUCAUAUAUUUGACUAUGAUUGCAAGAAUGAUAAAACAAAAACAUGUUACAUGACAUGUCUUGACAUGUCUACAAUUAAUGUAUUUUAAAAAAAAAGACUCAGAUCCUGGGAACAAUGAUAGUGGAAAUCAACUUAAUUUAAAUUAAGGACCAGUUUUAACAAACGACGAAAAACAACAAGAAUGCUAUUAAUUUUUUGAUCAACUCCAUUAAUAUAAUUGCCAUAUAGUUGCCAUUUAAACACGUUGGGUGAACAAUUUGUCUAAACAACUAUCAGCGUCCUGUUUUUGGUCAGUUGAUUCAUAUUGAUCAUUUAUCAAAGACAAAGUAAUUAUUGUACAUACAUGUAUAUGAUUAUAUUAUAUAUUUUCUAUAUCCA
rnacentral:lncRNA from 1 species